rnacentral:tRNA from 1 species
GGGGCUGUAGCGCAGCUGGGAGCGCGCAUGACUGGCAGUCAUGAGGUCACGGGUUCGAUCCCCGUCAGCUCCACCA